AAUGAGCUAUAUUUUUUAGACUAUUAUUUGCCCUGGAUUUUUAACUCCCUGAGGUUGGACCCACUCCUAUUCUAGUAGGAGUAGGAUUCAUUGAACGAAAUCGUCCAGCUUCACAGCCCUUACCAUAGAAUGCCGCUCAGUUUAAUUUUAAACAGAAUAUAGCAAGCAAUUCGUGGACUAUAUGAAGCAUCUGAUACCGCGCCUCCUGGCCCCUGAGAACCUCGUGGCGAAGUGUGGACAACCCGCCUCCGCCUACGGACUGGUCGACCUCUUCAAGAAGUACAUGGCCGACUUCAAGAAAGGACAUCUACUCAAGGAGGACCAGGAUAUCUCGCGUGCUCCGGAGGCUUCUCUCCAGAUGUCGCCCUAUCCACACGUGUCAACGGGCGGAGCUGUCGCUGCGCAAAAAAAUACGGGCAUCCACGACAGGCAUCCAUCCAAUACAGAAAAUGAAGAACGCAGCACCGAAGCCGAGAAGAUCAAAGAGCAAGAUUUGCCUAAACUGUUGUUCCUGGCGUGCAAACCUCAGCAUGAGGCUCACAAUGAUGGAGACGACAGCUGCGCCAUGUGCGGUCUCCUGGAGAAGUUUGAGGAGUCUAUGGCGAUGGAAAACGUAGAACCAUUGGAAAUGGCGCUGAAUGAAAAGAAGUUAAGGAUGUGCAGAUUAGGAGUGACGUCCACGAGCAACCAAGACACGAUUUCUCCUCUGGAAGAGGAACUUCUGUCGUUCGCCCAGGUGUCGGAAAAUAUGGGUUAUCAAGUACCAACAGAACUGCAUAAAAUUACCGAGAAAAUAAUUAAUAACAAACGUAUCGAUGAUUUUUCCUGCGUAGGAAGUUCUUGCGUCAAUCACAGCAGAGGAAACUCUUCUACUAUCAGCAAAAAACAUUACCUGGCCUACACCUUCAACGAGAAACUUGGUGAAAUUUGUGACUCCUUGUCUGCCGAAGAAGUUUAUGCAAUGAAGACCGUCAUCACACGACCGAACGAAAUUGAACAUGAUCUGAAGAAAAUUUUGAUGGAGGUUUCAGUAAUCAAAAGUGCUGAAAGUUUGAAAGCGUCCUCAGAGAUGAAAGAUGUCGCAUUCUACUACAUGAUUCUCCUAAUGUUGAAAAACCAAUUAUUGAAUAGCAUCUACACCCACGAGCUUGAAGAAUGCUUGCAAAAAGCACGAUCUUCGCUAGAUCAUCCUGCGUUGCGAGAGCACAUCGAUCGAGCCGUCAGCCAACUCAGAACAUAUAAAAUCCCACGUAAUCCUGCCGGAAUUUGCGUCAUAUUCGCCGUGGACGAAAAUCGCAAAGGAAACAUGCACGACGUGAGGGCCGUGCAGGAUCUGUUUACGGAUGAAUUCAAUUACGAUGUAAUCGUCACACUCGAUCCAACAAAAAAAGAUGUGGAGACCGUCAUCUCAGAAAUCAGUCAACCACGGUACAUGUUCUACGGCAGCUUGGUGGUCUGGUUCAUGGCUCAUGGCGACGAGACUCACCUCAAGGUCAAAGACGGCAAGAUACAUCGCCACGAUGACCUCAUGACGCCUUUCCAGGGGAUAACGUGGCUUACAACGAAACCCAAGCUCUUCUUCAUUCAGGCUUGUGCAAACCGAAAGCGAAAAAGAGAUGAUGCCGAACCCGAUAGUGAGAGGAUUGGAAACGUUUUCGGCGAGUACGUUGACAUCAGGAUCGACAGCAGCUUCGCCGAUACGCUGAUCUGCUACCCCACCGUGUGGGACCAACCGGCAAUGCGCUUCCAUGAUAAAGGCUCGGUGUUCAUCCAGAUAUUGGUCGAUGAGCUGAAGCGGAAGGGCACAACGACAAGCAUCGAGAACGUAUUACGAGACACCACCCAGCGCGUGAGCGCCUUGUUGCUUGAUGGUGAAAACGAUGUCCCAUUCAAGCAGACGCCUUACUACGCGUCUUCUCUGCGGAAUAAGUUCAUCUUCCCCAAGAAAACAGAAUAAGAAGAAUAAUGUGAAAUUAGACAUGACACUAGAGGCUUUCUAAUCAGUCAUGCCAGUCAGUCAUGCCAAUCUCCGAUGAAGAAAUUGGGUGCUCAAUCAUUUCCGAUCAUACGAUCAUUUCAUAAUUUGUUGAACAAAAUUGAAGAAAUAAAUUUCUUAUUAUAAUAUUUAAAUUCACCAUUUCCGUAACUUGAAAUAGAUGGAUUAACCUGUUUAAAAGGUUUGAUAACUGCGUCAUAUUUUGGGUGAAAAAUUAGGAUUUUCCGAGACAAAACAUUUCUGAUUUGCCGGAUUGCUUGCUGCUUUUUGGGAAAGGUCUCUAAAGCUUACCUGUUUAUGAAAAUAAUCACACAUAAGAGGCUUUAAACAUCGAAAAAAUAGAUCCCCAAAUUUUCAUAAUAUCAAUCGCGAUAUAACUGCCAAUAAACUUGAAAGCUAUCAUUUUUCUACAGCAGAUAACGGAUUCUAUGUAAUCUUAAUUUCUAUGGAGUUUGUAGGUGAUAACAUAAAUAACACCACGAGGUUGCAGUUCAGUAUAAGGCCUAUACAGACGCUUCUUGCAUAUCAGUUAAUCCUAUUAGUUAUUUAGAAGUAACUCGUCUGAACUUGUGAACAAAUUAGAGACAUUUUCAAAUGACAAGUAGACGUUUUGCUGCUCACAUCUUGAUAGAAGUUGCGACAAAUGGAUUCACCUCAAACGUCACCAAUACUUCAAAUUUAGAGAUCUCAUCCACAAUUUUUCGUCUCUCCCGCAUUCCGAUUUUUAGUCAACCAAUCGUCACCAAACGUUUGUUUAAAAUUGAAUUAACCUGGACUUACUAUAGCAGAAUGAACAUCAGAUUACCAUUUCAUGCCUUUUCAAUGAAACCAUUUGGUUUUCACUAACGUUUCGUUUCUUAUGUUAAUUUUUGUGAGUCCCGUUAGAUUACUGUUUUUUCAUCUAUACAUUACCAAUUAAUUCCAUGAUCAUCCGACUAGCCUUCCUAGAUUCCCUGACCACACGACUUGCCUUCCUUUAAACAAAAAAAAUCUAUAGUCAGUUUAAAUUAUAAAUAAACUAACUACAGUUUAGCCGUAAGUGCCUGGGAUAUUUAAUUGACAUUGUAACUAUAAUAUCUUGAUUAAACAUUGUUAGCGUGCCUCUUAUAUCGCAGGCUUGCAUUAAAUCGCUUCCUAAUUCUUCAUAUAAGGAUCCGCAGACAGCCAUACAUGUCAGCUAUGAAUGUAUUUAAAUUGCUAAUAACUCACCGAAUCUGGAUGUCCUAACCAACUCAGUUCCCUGAGUGUAUCCUCGUGUCGUGUAUUUUUGUGGAGCUUUAUUGAUGAAUUGCAUGAACUACAUUUUGCCGGUGAGAUAAAGCCAGUAGUGAAAGUCUUGCAUAUUGUUUGUAACAGUUGCUCAAUGGUACUAUGCUCUAAAAAUAUAAUAUUAUUACUGAAUACAUAACAAAAUUUAUAUUCAUUUUAAAUUUUAGCAGUUUGUUGAAUUUCUGUAGUUCGUUAAAAUUUAAUUUUAAUAUCGAGCAUACUUCACGAUUUUUUCGGAUGUUCAUCGUUUGUCGUGCACUUUAUUCGUGGAAGCAGGUAAUGCAUUUAGACAAACAUUGCCUAAAUUUUAACAUGAAUGUAAGUUUUUAAAACACUGCAACUGUAACGCAAAAACCAAGCUGUAACUUCGUGGGACUUCAUAAAUGAGCUUUCUUAAACCAGAGCGCAGUGUCAUUAUUAUAAGAAAUUCUGUUCCGUUUUAAUUUAAGGAAGACUAUGAAGAUUAACUUUGAAUAGUUGUUAACUUCUAGGAUUAGGAAUUAAUAGUUAGGGAUGAGCGUGGAAAAGAGGUGACAGAUUGUGCAUUCUAGAUUGCUGCAUAAUGUACAGCAUAAUAUGUGCAUUUUCACUCUUGAUUAACUUGAUUUAAUGCAUGGAAUGGGCCCCUAGUCCUGUUAAUGCAUGCUAAUUCACUUCUUUGGUUGGACCCAACAUUGCGAAGUCGUCUAUGACGCAUUAUCACUUUGGCCUUAUUGCUGGCCUAUAACUUUAACUUUAACCUUAACCUUAUUACUAAUUAACUUAUUUACUAAAUUCCUGCUGAGUUGGGCCAACCUAUUACUAACCAUUGCACAUUGUAACUAAAUCAAACCUCUGAAUGGCCUCUAUGCCACUUCUAAAUGGAGCCUUCGGUAAUAAUUUAGAAGUAUAACGACUCGCAUCACACGUCACCCAUUCUGCGGGAACUUUGUCGUACUUAACGCCUCUUCUGUUUGCUGCUGCCGUAUUUAGUGUCGCAACUUCGCAAGGUUAAUACUGGGAAUCAAGUUCACUGUCAAAUCAUAUGCCGAUAAAUUGGAAUACAGAAUAUGAUCACAUAAAGCAUCCUUGUAACUAAGUUUAUCAGUUAAUCAGACUGUAUUCUUUCUCUGGUUGCAGUUGCUCCACUGCUUCUUCAGUUCUCAAUUCUUUUGCCUUCGAAAACCUUCGAAGAUUUAUCCUGUGGAUUCUCAAAUA
rnacentral:misc_RNA from 1 species